rnacentral:lncRNA from 1 species
CUUAUCCUAGAAUAUAGUUUCCUUCUCUGGAAACUCUGACUAGCAGCGAAGACUCAAGGGACUGCUGUCCUCUGGACUUUGUCUGGUUCGCUUACGUGAAUUCGAUGAUCACUAAUUUUCUGUGAAAUACAGGAAUGAUAUUUCCUUUUAGUUUUUGUUUCUAAUUUCGAUUCUCCAGAUUUUACUCUUCGACAGGUACGCUUCACCCGUUCGUGAAAUCGCAGCGUCUGAUUCUAAAGGGUCUCCAUCAUGGCUCAGAACCCAGGCAAGAAAAAAUUUUGAAAUCCCAAUUUAAGCAUCAGUAUUAUGUGAAGUGUAGAAAAUAAUCAUAUUAAGGUAGAAGAAUGAAGAUAGUGAAUGUUAUUUACAUACUGGCAGAUGUUGAAUUUUAGCGCCCCAUUUUUUGUAAUAUUUGGGGUUGUAAUUGAAUAAUUGAUAUUGAUACAUGAUAAUCAUUUGUCAACAUUACGUUUACAUUCUGAAAAUUGAAUUUUAGAAUCUGAAUUCAUGAAAGUCCGUUCAAAUUGGAACAGGAUCAUUUCUUGAAUGAUUGGGCCUCAAUUCCUCAUUUUCAUACUAUUCUUGGAAGUGUAAUGUGAACUCAUGAUACAAAUUAUUUCAUUUUCUUGGUUGGUGCUAUGUUAACAGUAAAUUUAUUGUGGUAGUCACCAGGAAAGAAAUGGCUUUGAGAAGAUGGGUUCUCUCUGUCUCUAAGUGGUGUCAUUUCUUGUGUAACAUCGAUGUGGUGUGUUCUGGAUGUGUAAUCCAGUGCAUUCUUGUCAAAACACCAUUCAUAUAUGCUCCAGUGGCCGAGACUCCGUUUUUAUUUGCAUCUCGUUCUAUUGAAUAGUACUAUACGUGAUAUACAAUGUGUGAAUGAAGUUCGACUUGCCAGUUGUUUCAAAGCCAUUAGUACUUUUUUUGGUUCACAUUAUCUUUGUUUGUUUGUACCACAGAUAUGGCUCAUGCAAAUUUCUGCAUAUUUCAUUAUUCGAUUUGAAAGAGUUAAUUUAGGAUAAAGAAUACAUACAAACAGGAGAUUUUUCUCAUAUAUCAUAAACUAAGAAUAAUUAAACAAUCUGUUAGAAACACUCACAAGCUGUACUAAAAUAGAAUUUAUGAUUGUCAUGUUUCAAGUCUCCUACACCUUUACUCCAUCCCAGACUUCUCUUUCUUUUUUUUCUUUCCCCUUCUUCAAUUGCUUGAUUUGUUAUACUAAGCAUAGUUGUUGUUUUAUUUUGUCAAGAAACUAAAAUUUGUUUGAAUCUAUGCCACUUUGGGUCUUCAAUAAAUAGAAGUGUUUACUUGAAAUUUGAUACCUUCACCAUUUGUAUUACGUAGAAGAGUUCAUCUUGUUUAUAAGGUCUCACCUUUUAUGUAGAAAGUAAUUAGUGGAACUUACUAAAUUUUUAGAUUUUUGUGGUUACCAAACUAGGUAAUAACUACAAUUUUUCUGCAGCUAAGCAGCGGAAAAUGGCGAUACUGAAUAAGCGUAAUGAAAGACUUGUGGGCGUGUUGCAUGAGACUGAAUCUACAGAAAUUGUAGUUUUGUGCCAUGGUUUUCAAUCUUCGAAGGUUUGUGUGUUCUUUUGGUUUGGUUAUUUUUCCUCAGUCGUCAAAUUCACGACUUCCAUUGACAUAUGUCUUUUUAUUGUAUUAUGAAGUGCCAAUAAAUUUGUGUUUCCACUGAGAAUUGAGUAAGCAAGAUUACCCACGGAUAUUUCUGUAUAUAAUUGAAUUCAUGUUGUAAUUACACUUACCAUAAAUUUGUGUUUCCACGGAGAAUUGACUAAGCAAGAUUACCUACGGAUAUUUCUGUAUAUAAUUGUAUUUUUGUUGUAAUUACACUUACCAUAUUUAGAUUGUACUUAUUCCUAUAUAAUGUAAGGAAUCCCAUGGGAAAAUCAUUCAGCCAAAACUUUGACAUGAAUAUUAGUUUAUUUAAGUGCUUAGAAGGAAAGUCCAGCUUUACUAAUGACUAUAUAACCUGUAGUCAGUUACCACAGAGAAAUUCUAGCCAUGGAUUUUUGUCUAUUACUUUAAUUUCUAAAGCCAUAUUUAGAUUUGAAAAUCUAAAUUUAUAUCAGAAUCCUAGAUGGUUGGAGGCAGAGAAAAACUCGUUUGAAUUGUCCAGCUCAUCUAACCAUCCUGAAUUAAUACUAAAAUGGGUUUUAAGUUCUAAAAAGAAAAUUUUCCAGUAAAAUUUAAGAUCUGCAGUUGCAGUGUGAACAAAAUAACCCUAAAUUUAUGUUGCAUACAAAUUUGAUGAUCAAAACAAGGGCAACCACAAUUGUACAUAAUCUGGAAAAAUUUGAAUAUAGGUGAAUGGUUGCUGGAAAUAUAAACCUACUUCAAUCUCGUGUGAUAGAGAUGAAGUCAUUGAUGUCUCAUGCAAUCGUACUUUAGUUAUUCGUUGAAAUAUGAAUAAAUUUUGGAGAGUUUGUAUUUAUUAUUAAAAAGAAAUUCUACAAAAAGUUUAGAUAGAAUGGCAGUCAGUUAUAAUGAUAGUGCCUAGUGGUGGGAUUCAUCUCUCAUAUUUAAUAUGCAGGAGUUCAACAUCAUGAUCAACAUUGCCAGUGCUCUAGAAAACCAAGGAAUUAGUGCAUUUCGCUUUGAUUUUGCUGGAAAUGGGUAAACUCUAGAGGCUAUUGAUUUAUUCUUCUGUCAACAUAUUAUUACAACACGAAUAGUAAUACUAAUAUUGUAGACAUACGUACAUGCUACUUAUUGCUGUUCUUUACAUUUUAG